rnacentral:lncRNA from 1 species
UCCAAUUGAAGUCACUGAAUUAAGAAAAAAGAAAAAGAAGUGGGUAUUUUUGAAGUAGAUUUGGUUGAACUGAAAGGUGGACAUGUGAGAGAAAUGUAUGAAAAUGAUGUGUGAACAUAAAAAUGAGUUGAAGAAGAAGAAGAAAAAAAAAAUAAAAAAUAAAUAAAAAUAAAGGUAGGCACUGAGAUUUCCUUCUUCUGAUGACACUCACCACCACCGUUCCUUCUUUCUUUCUUUUCGAUCCACACUUUUCCUUCGCUUUCUUCCACCACUCACAAAUCAUGGGCCCCACCACCUUCCCUAUCUCCCUAUAAUAUUCCCCUAAAUAAUUAUUUCAAACUUUUUUUAACUCACAAAAACAAAUUUCUUUAAUAAAACUGAAUUUAUUAUAUACUGUCUUUAUUUCACAACUGUAUAAAAUUUACAGAUUCGUUAAUUUGCUUAGUGAAUUAUCCAAAAACUCAUCAUUUUCGC